ACGCACGCUGGCGGCAUGCCUCACCCCUGCAAGUCGCACGAGACCUUCGGGUCUAGUGGCGCACGGGUGCGUAACGCGUGGGAAUCUGCCCUUGGGUUCGGAAUAACAGUUGGAAACGACUGCUAAUACCGGAUGAUGACGUAAGUCCAAAGAUUUAUCGCCCAAGGAUGAGCCCGCGUAGGAUUAGCUAGUUGGUGAGGUAAAGGCUCACCAAGGCGACGAUCCUUAGCUGGUCUGAGAGGAUGAUCAGCCACACUGGGACUGAGACACGGCCCAGACUCCUACGGGAGGCAGCAGUGGGGAAUAUUGGACAAUGGGCGAAAGCCUGAUCCAGCAAUGCCGCGUGAGUGAUGAAGGCCUUAGGGUUGUAAAGCUCUUUUACCCGGGAUGAUAAUGACAGUACCGGGAGAAUAAGCGCCGGCUAACUCCGUG
rnacentral:rRNA from 1 species